UGGUGGAGCGAUUUGUCUGGUUAAUUCCGAUAACGAACGAGACUCUAGCCUGCUAAAUAGUUCACCGAUCUCCGACGGUCGGGCUGGACUUCUUAGAGGGACAAGCGGCGUUUAGUCGCACGAGAUUGAGCAAUAACA
rnacentral:rRNA from 1 species